rnacentral:rRNA from 1 species
UAAGGCAGCCAUAUCACCCUGUAGCCCAAGACUGGUUACCCGCUGAAGCUAAGCAGGGCUGAGCCUGGUCAGUACCUGGUCCUUCGGAUGAGAUGUUAAACCGAGGUCCUGACUCUC